CUUUCGGUGCUUGCUAGAUCGAUGCCUUCUGAACUUAAAGGCAAAGUAAUAAACUAAACAUAAAUCGCCGGUUGCUGCUUCAGAGAGCCGUUCGCCUCCGUUAUUUCAGCUCCUCCAGCAGAAGCUGCUUCCUCCUGUCUUCCAGAUGCUGCUGACCAAGUUGUCCACCAUCUGACAGGCGGUUCUGGCUGAUGACCUGUCGCCAUAGCUGAUAUAAACCCAGAAGGAAUAUCUUCCCCAAUGAUACUGCUAAUAUUAGUAACUGUACUGAUGAGGAACAGGAGGGUAGGCUUAUCCAUUGUCCCUGAACUGCUUGAAGUGUAGAGUCAAAAUGACAGUGCCACUUUGUUACCACUAGUCACAUGUUUGAGAAGAUGUUCUGCAAAAAUAAUAACAAUACAGAGAUGUUCUUGCUCUUCAAGGAGGUUCUGACAAUAAUAUGUUGGAAUCCAUUAUAAAGAAAACCUACAGUAGUUGAACACUUUGUGUAGGUAGUAACCUGUUUGUUGAACGCCAGUGAUUCUAAGAACAAAAAUAACUGUUACCUGUAGGACAAUGUCUAUCACAGGUCACCAAGGGUACAAUAAGGCAUAUCCUUAAUAAAAUAUAUUUUCAUGGCUAAUUGUGCAUGCCUCUCAUUUUCCACUUAAUAUGCAAUAUAGUUAUACCUAUGGCUUGCAUAACCAACUCAGUGCCCUUGUUGUUAGUGUCCUACCUAAGAGUUGAAGGUUGGACAGUUCGAUCCCUGACCGAGUCAUACCAAAGACUGUAAAAAUGGGACCCGAUGCGUCUCUGCUUGGCACUGAUGAUAGAUUGGGUGUAAGGCCCUGCGAUAGACUAGCGUCCUAUCCAGGGGGUGUACUUGUACAUCAAGCUGCCUCACAUUACAGAAACAGGAGAUAUGCUCCUGCUCCUAUGAGCCGUUGUGGCUCACACAAGCUAAGGCUCAUGCAAAUCUCCCCUCUUACUUACUUUGGCUUACAGCUUAAACAGUAUUGAGUCAAGGAGUAGCUUUACUGCUCAAUAAAAUCUGUUGCCACAGUACUGAAGAGGCAGAGCAAGCAGGCUUCUUAUCUCGUUGGGAUA